rnacentral:rRNA from 1 species
AUUGAACGCUGGCGGCAGGCCUAACACAUGCAAGUCGAGCGAGGGGCGGACGGGUGAGUAAUGGGUGGGCACUGCCAAGUCGAGGGGGAUAACAGAAGGACACGACUGCUAAUACCGCCUACGUAGGGAUUGCACAGUGGGGAUUAGAUAGUUGGGGAGGUAAUGUCUAACCAAGUCGACGAUCCCUAGCUGGACUGAGAGGAUGAUCAGACAAACUGGAACUGAGACACGGUCCAGACUCCUACUGGAGGCAGCAGUGGGGAAUAUUGCACAAUGGGUGCAACCCUGAUGCAGCCAUGCCGCGUGUGUGAAGAAGGCCUUCGGGUUGUAAAGCACUUUCAGCGAGGAGGCGUUACUCGCAGAAGAAGCACCGGCUAACUCCGUGCCAGCAGCCGCGGUAAUUC